ensembl:lncRNA
GCUAAGCUCUUUUUUUUGAAAGAAAAGUCAUCAAAGGGUCUAAGAAGUUGCCAGAUCUAGAAAUAAAAGUCUCUAAUUUGGCAACACAGAUGAUAUCUUCUGCUCAACCCUAAAGGGACAAAAGUUAAUGAUUCAGGUUUUACUAUGCAAAAUAUUGAAUAAUUGUCUGGUUUUUGUUAUGUUUUUUUUGCACUGCUGUUCAAACUGGUGUAACUGUGCAUCUUAGUGGAUCUGUACUGAAGGAAAGAGUUUACAGCAUGCAGAGAGUUAGGUGCAUGCGUUCCUUUGGGAAUCUCAAAGUGAAAGAACGUUAAUCUCUUCCUGCUACACUCCCCGACUUCCACAUUACAUUCCUCGGCAAAAAAAAAACGGAAAGCUUUUUCCCCGAUCUGUCAGUGGAGUGAUGGCUAUCAGGAGUAGCCCGGGUCAGGGAAGGAGGUAAACACGGCCGUGCGAGGAGAGGAACCAAUGAUAUUAUCAAACUUCUGGCUCCAGACAGUUCCCUCGCUGCCUCUGUUUUCCUUUCUCAACCCUGAGUCAUGCUACAUUCAUGUCUGAAGGUCUGAGCACGCUGCCAAGAAUGCUUGAUCUUUAAUUAAUUAUUAGCGUUAAUUGUUCUGGUCUUUCAAUAACUAACACCUGAUACUGACCCCAUCAAUGUGUUCGUUUUAUCAGGCCACACUGUUCUGGACACUAGGGAAGGAUGUUGGAGUCCUCCUACUGAACAAGAAUUUGACAAAGCUUACAGUUGCAACUUCAAAUGGAUGGAGAGUGGGUGUGGCCUAAUAUUCUAAUGCACACAAUUGACUGAUAGGCUACAUGUUUUAGACUUCCAGAAUGCUACACAACUAAACAGCACAAGCAACAAUAAUCUGGAUUGUUCAAGACCGGCCUUUUCUCAGUAGGUUAGAUUUUGACCUUUUAGGUCAAGCUAGUUUAUAAGCUGUUAAUUCAGCUUUUGCUUGCUAGGUUAGCUCUUAGCCGUUACAUCAGAUUUUGCUUGCUAGGUUAGCUCUUAGCCGUUACAUCGGCUUUUGCUUGCUAGGUUAGCUCUUAGCCGUUACAUCAGCUUUCUCUUGCUAGGUUAGCUCUUAGCCGUUACAUCAGCUUUUGCUAACUAGGUUAGCUCUUAGCCGUUACAUCAGCUUUUGCUUGCUAGGUUAGCGCUUAGCCGUUUAUAUCAGCUUUUGCUUGCUAGGUUAGCUCUUUAGCCG